UACAUGUGGGGCAAGCGUUGUUCGGAAUUACUGGGCAUAAAGGGUGCGUAGGUGGCUUGUUAAGUCAGGGGUGAAAGUUUUCGGCCCAACCGGAAAAUGGCCUUUGAUACUGGCGAGCUCGAGUGCGUGAGGGGUAACCGGAACGAGCAGUGUAGCGGUGAAAUGCGUAGAUAUUGCUCGGAAGGCCAACGGCGAAGGCAGGUUACUGGUGCGCAACUGACACUGAGGCACGAAAGCGUGGGGAUCAAACAGG
rnacentral:rRNA from 1 species